rnacentral:rRNA from 1 species
UGGGGAAUAUUGCACAAUGGGGGAAACCCUGAUGCAGCAACGCCGCGUGAGUGAUGAAGGUCUUCGGAUUGUAAAGCUCUGUCUUUAGGGACGAUAAUGACGGUACCUAAGGAGGAAGCCACGGCUAAUUACGUGCCAGCAGCCGCGGUAAUACGUAGGUGGCAAGCGUUAUCCGGAUUUACUGGGCGUAAAGGGAGCGUAGGCGGAUAUUUAAGUGGGAUGUGAAAUACCCGAGCUUAACUUGGGAGCUGCAUUCCAAACUGGAUAUCUAGAGUGCAGGAGAGGAGAAUGGAAUUCCUAGUGUA